rnacentral:rRNA from 1 species
GUUCUCCCCGAAAUAUAUUGAGGUAUAGCCUCGGGAAUUGAUUAGCGGAGGUAAAGCACUGACAGAGCUAGGGGUCCUACCAGAUUACCAAACUCUAUCAAACUCAGAAUGCCGCUUAAUUGUAUCCCGGGAGUCAGACGGCGGGUGCGAAGGUUCGUCGUCAAAAGGGAAACAGCCCAGACCAACAGCUAAGGUCUCCAAAUCCAUGCUCAGUGGUGAAGGUAGUGGAACCGUUUAGACAGCCAGGACGUUGGCUUAGAAGCAGCCAUCGUUUAAAGAAAGCGUAAUAGCUCACUGGUCUAAUGGCUCUGCGCCGAAAAUGUAACGGGGCUAAGCAUGGUACCGAAGCUUUGGCAAUCUCCUUUGGAGAUUGGGUAGGGGAGCGUUCGCUGCGGGCUGAAGGUGUGUCGGAAGGCAUGCUGGACUGCAGUGAAGUGAUUAUGCUGACAUGAGUAACGAUAAAAUAUGUGAAAAACAUAUUCGCCGAAAACCCGAGGUUUCCUGGGUAAAGGUAAUCUUCCCAGGGUUAGUCGGAUCCUAAGGUGAGGGUGAAAGCCGUAACCGAUGGAAAACAGGUUAAUAUUCCUGUACUUGUUGUGUAGCGCGAUGGAGGGACGCAGGAAGAUAGGCGGGCCGGGUGUUGGAUAUCCCGGUGCAAGCGUGUAGGAAUAUCCGGUAGGCAAAUCCGCCGGACGAAUCUGAGACGCGAGUCCGUGGGCGCAAGCCCUGAAGCCGUUGAGUCUAUGCUGCCUAGAAAAGCUCCUAAGUUUAUCCACAGCAAUCCGUACCGCAAACCAACUCAGGUGGGUGGGAUGAACAAUCCAAGGCGCUCGAGAGAACUCUGGCCAAGGAACUCGGCAAAAUAACCCCGUAACUUCGGAAGAAGGGGUGCUCUCUAGGGUGACAUGUUUAACAUAUGAAGCCCCGGGGAGCCGCAGUGAAUUGGUGGUGGCGACUGUUUACUAAAAACAUAGGUCUGUGCGAAGUCCUAAAGACGACGUAUACGGACUGACGCCUGCCCGGUGCUGGAAGGUUAAAAGGAGGGGUCAGCGCAAGCAAAGCUCCGAAUUGAAGCCCCAGUAAACGGCGGCCGUAACUAUAACGGUCCUAAGGUAGCGAAAUUCCUUGUCGGGUAAGUUCCGACCUGCACGAAUGGCGUAACGAUCUCCACACUGUCUCGGCCAGAGACUCGGUGAAAUUGCAGUCGCGGUGAAAAUUCCGUGUACCCGCAGAAAGACGGAAAGACCCUGUGCACCUUUACUAUAGCUUGACAUUGGAUUUUGGGCCUGCAUGUGUAGGAUAGGUGGGAGGCUGUGAACCCUGUACGCCAGUAUGGGGGGAGCCAUCCUUGAAAUACCACCCUUGCAUGUUUAAGAUCCUAACUUCUUCCGGUUAUCCCGGAGAAAGACAGUGUCUGGCGGGUAGUUUGACUGGGGCGGUCGCCUCCUAAAGUGUAACGGAGGCAUGCAAAGGUUCCCUCAGCCUGAUCGGAAACCAGGCGCUGAGUGCAAACGCAUAAGGGAGCUUGACUGUAAGAGAGACAUCUCGAACAGGAACGAAAGUUGGCGUUAGUGAUCCGGUGGUCCCGUAUGGAAGGGCCAUCGCUCAUUGGAUAAAAGGUACGCCGGGGAUAACAGGCUGAUCGCAUCCAAGAGUUCACAUCGACGAUGC